rnacentral:rRNA from 1 species
UAGUCAUAUGCUUGUCUCAAAGAUUAAGCCAUGCAUGUCUAAGUAUAAGCAAUCUAUACGGUGAAACUGCGAAUGGCUCAUUAAAUCAGUUAUCGUUUAUUUGAUAGUACCUUACUACUUGGAUAACCGUGGUAAUUCUAGAGCUAAUACAUGCUAAAAACCCCGACUUCGGAAGGGGUGUAUUUAUUAGAUAAAAAACCAAUGCCCUUCGGGGCUCCUUGGUGAUUCAUAAUAACUUAACGAAUCGCAUGGCCUUGUGCCGGCGAUGGUUCAUUCAAAUUUCUGCCCUAUCAACUUUCGAUUGUAAGGUAGUGGCUUACAAUGGUUUCAACGGGUAACGGGGAAUUAGGGUUCUAUUCCGGAGAGGGAGCCUGAGAAACGGCUACCACAUCCAAGGAAGGCAGCAGGCGCGCAAAUUACCCAAUCCCGACACGGGGAGGUAGUGACAAUAAAUACUGAUACAGGGCUCUUUUGGGUCUUGUAGUUGGAAUGAGUACAAUUUAAAUCCCUUA